rnacentral:tRNA from 1 species
UUAAUUGAAGCCAAAUUAGAGGCUUAUCACUGUUAAUGAUAGAACUGAGUCUAUAACUCCAAUUAAG